CCUCCUCGCCGGAAGACCAAGGGUUCCUGUCCAACGUUAAUCGGGGCAGGGUAAGUCGACCCCUAAGGCGAGGCCGAAAGGCGUAGUCGAUGGGAAACGGGUUAAUAUUCCCGUACUUCUUACAAUUGCGAUGGGGGGACGGAGAAGGCUAGGUGGGCCUGGCGACGGUUGUCCAGGUUCAAGUGCGUAGGCUUAAGAGUUAGGUAAAUCCGGCUCUUUUUAAGGCUGAGACACGACGUCGAGCCACUACGGUGGUGAAGUCAUUGAUGCCAUGCUUCCAGGAAAAGCCUCUAAGCUUCAGAUUGUAAGGAAUCGUACCCCAAACCGACACAGGUGGUCGGGUAGAGAAUACCAAGGCGCUU
rnacentral:rRNA from 1 species